CACGUGGUGUGUUUCCUGUUCCUGCAACUGCAGUGGAGCCGCUCGCUGUGUGGCAGCGUGUACACACAGGGCUGCAGCAGCUCUCAGUGUCACUCGACCUCGUCAGUGUUUCAGUCCAAAGCAAAGCUGGUGAUUGAUGACGGGACAGGUGAGGCUCACGUCUGGUUCUCAGCUGCUCUGGUUCGUGCUCUGCUGGGAUUGGCUGACGCUCAGUGGGAGGGGCUUCAGAGAGCACUCAGGGUCAGAGGUCACAUCAGAGUCUUCCCUCGUGGGCAGAG